GACAGAGGGCGCAAACGUUGUUCGGAAUUACUGGGCGUAAAGCGCGUGUAGGCGGCCAUGCAAGUCGGAUGUGAAAGCCCUCGGCUCAACCGGGGAAGUGCACUCGAAACUGCAAGGCUAGAGUCUCGGAGAGGAUCGUGGAAUUCUCGGUGUAGAGGUGAAAUUCGUAGAUAUCGAGAGGAACACCGGUGGCGAAGGCGGCGAUCUGGACGAUGACUGACGCUGAGACGCGAAAGCGUGGGGAGCAAACAGG
rnacentral:rRNA from 1 species